rnacentral:misc_RNA from 1 species
AACACGCUGGUUUUUUUUUUUGGGAUGAUAUUGAUAAUGGGUAGGAAAGGUUGAUGAUUUCUACUACCAAAAACUCUAUCAAAACUCCAAUAUUUUUUAAUCACUGGAAAAAAUAAUUUAGUCAUCACCCACGUUCUGUUUUCUGAAUAUUGACCUAAGAAUAAAAAUCAAUUUUGUAAUUUCAAAUCCAUAUCCUGAGAUUGAGUUCUUGAAAUUGAAAAUUUGAUAUUUUAAUAUGUAUAUAAGAAAUGAAUAUCCUUUUCCUUUUCAUAAUUCUCACAGUAAAAUGAAAAAUUCCUACCAAUUAAAUUUAAUUAUUUGAUUAUUAUUAUUAUUAUUUUAGUAAGAGAUUUGAAGAAGGUAAACUAGCUUGAUUGGAUUAUCAAUGUAAUUCAGUGACGCUGUCUGUUAUUUUCAUG